rnacentral:lncRNA from 1 species
AUGGCCCCUGGCAUGGAGCAGGCACUGGGGUGGGGACCCAGCUGGGGCCUGGGAGCAGUCCAAUCUGGCUGGAAGAACAUGUCCUCUACUCAGGGGAGGCUGGUCAGCAUUAGGGAAGUCCACCAUGGAGUAACAAUGAAUGGAGUCACAUGGUCACCAAGAAUUCAGAGGCGGUUGAAAUCUGGAAAUCCACCAAGAGCUAGACUUUCUUCAUCUGGAAAGGCAUUGAAUUAG